UUCAGUCUCGUGGUGGUGGCUGCUGAUCGUUGUGUCUGUGGCUGUUGCAGCUCUCUUAAUAAUCACUGUGGCUGUCUUCAGAUGGAGGAGAGCUAAAGGGAAAAAACUAAUCACAAAUAACGACAUGGCUGAUCCUGAAGGUGAUGUUUCCUACGCCUCCGUCAGCUACACCAAGAAGACCAACAGGAGAGCCCAGGUAAACUAUCUAAUAUAUCACAGUGUUGGUGUUAAUGGAUUAGUAAUCUUUUUAAUCCUUGAAGCAGAUAUUAAUGAUUCAUGAUUCUGAGUCUCAGCCUCUGUGUUCCAAGACAAGUUUGCUGUGAAUUUUCAUGAUAACAACACAAUGAAUGGCGGAGUUUUGUCGGUGCCCCCUAUUAGAUACAGCAGC